rnacentral:rRNA from 1 species
GAUGAACGCUGGCGGCGUGCCUAAUACAUGCAGGUCGAGCGAACGGACGAGAAGCUUGCUUCUCUGAUGUUAGCGGCGGACGGGUGAGUAACACGUGGAUAACCUACCUAUAAGACUGGGAUAACUUCGGGAAACCGGAGCUAAUACCGGAUGAUAUUUUGAACCGCAUGGUUCAAAAGUGAAAGACGGUCUUGCUGUCACUUAUAGAUGGAUCCGCGCUGCAUUAGCUAGUUGGUAAGGUAACGGCUUACCAAGGCAACGAUGCAUAGCCGACCUGAGAGGGUGAUCGGCCACACUGGAACUGAGACACGGUCCAGACUCCUACGGGAGGCAGCAGUAGGGAAUCUUCCGCAAUGGGCGAAAGCCUGACGGAGCAACGCCGCGUGAGUGAUGAAGGUCUUCGGACCGUAAAACCCUGUUAUUAGGGAAGAACAUAUGUGUAAGUAACUGUGCACAUCUUGACGGUACCUAAUCAGAAAGCCACGGCUAACUACGUG